CUGGCGCUGGGAGCGAGCGCUGCCUUCUCUGAAAAGUUCGGGGACUUUAUUCCAGCCCGACGGCGAUCCUAGAAUAACCGGAGCCGCUCGCCGGGAGGAACGUGAUCGGCUUUUCCCAGGGGAUGGCAUGCUGCCUCAGCCCUGUACUUUGGUCAAGGGUACAACCAAUAGAGAGCUGUGGGAUUUUGGCCUUCCUCUUGCUGAUGACCGGGUUCCUGUUUGAUCCUGUUUACAAGCUUCCCAAGACUGAAAAUAACCCCAGCUCCUCUGCACUGGCGCUUGGAAGCAGAAGGAAGCAAAGAGGAGUUGAGAACUGAAGCUGGGAGACUUGGCAGCUAAUUCAGAGGCACAAUUGUGUGAGCAGCCCCUUGGCAAGAGGACCCAGUGCAGCCUGUGACAGAACUGAGUGGAGAUGAUCCCAAGCUGAGAGUCACAACAGGAUCUGCUUUGAGUUCACCCAGCGACCUGCAGGCUCAUCCAGCACCCAGCACAGGUAAGAGAUCUCCACAGAACCUGCAUUCCCCAGGUGUUGUAGCAUCCCAGCCAUAACCCCUGCUCUGCAGUGC
rnacentral:lncRNA from 1 species